CGCCCGUCGCUCCUACCGAUUGGGUGUGCUGGUGAAGCGUUCGGAUUGGCGGCCUCCGGCGGUUCGCCGCUGGGAGCAGCCGAGAAGUUCAUUAAACCCUCCCACCUAGAGGAAGGAGAAGUCGUAACAAGGUUUCC
rnacentral:rRNA from 1 species